rnacentral:lncRNA from 1 species
CUUCAGGAGAGAACUGUUGUUCCUGGUUUUGGGACACUUGAAAGAGAGCAUCUCCCAGUGGCAAAGAUAAGAGCCCACGUCCUUCCUGCAUCCUGUGGCUGUGCAUUCUCAGCCACAAGAGUCAGCGAGUCCCCUUCCAGAGAGAAGUGAUUUGGACAAUGCAUCUUGGACUGAUGCUGCUAACCCAGCCUUAUCCAAGGGAAGUGGGUGAGGUCAGAAGACAGGGAAAGGACUUGUCUGCUGUCAGGAGGAUGGUGAAAUUGGCACAUCAGAUAGAGCUGAAUGCUGCUGUAAAGGAAGGGCAGCACGCCUACAUGUAUGGUGAAUGCCUGGCUCUUGGCUCCUACCAAUGCUUUUGCAAAGGUGAGACAGACCAGCAAGAACAAACCAGAAGGGAACAAAUUUAAAAGGAAUAACUGUCAUUUCCAGCUCUUUCCAAGUCUUCUGGGGUAAGACUUCCCCUACGACAAUUUGUUAAACAUCCACGUUGCCUUUUUCAGUCUGUUUCCUU